GACGAACGCUGGCGGCGUGCUUAACACAUGCAAGUCGAACGGAAAGGCCCUGCUUUUGUGGGGUGCUCGAUUGGCGAACGGGUGUGUAACACGUGAGUAACCUGCCCUUGACUUUGGGAUAACUUCAGGAAACUGGGGCUAAUACCGGAUAGGAUCUCCUGCUGCAUGGUGGGGGUUGGAAAGUUUCGGCGGUUGGGGAUGGACUCGCGGCUUAUCAGCUUGUUGGUGGGGUAGUGGCUUACCAAGGCUUUGACGGGUAGCCGGCCUGAGAGGGUGACCGGCGACAAUGGGACUGAGAUACGGACCAGACUCCAACGGGAGGCAGCAGUGGGGAAUAUUGCACAAUGGGCGGAAGCCUGAUGCAGAAACGCCGCGUGCGGGAUGACGGCCUUCGGGUUGUAAACCGCUUUCGCCUGUGACGAAGCGUGAGUGACGGUAAUGGGUAAAGAAGCACCGGCUAACUACGUG
rnacentral:rRNA from 1 species